rnacentral:rRNA from 1 species
GGUGAACGCUGGCGGCGUGCUUAAGACAUGCAAGUCGAACGGGCUCUUCGGAGCCAGUGGCGCACGGGUGAGUAACGCGUAACUGACCUACCCCAAAGUCGCGGAUAACGAUUCGAAAGAAUCGCUAAUACGUGAUGUGCUGUCAGAUCCUGUUCUGCCAGUAAAGAUUUAUUGCUUUGGGAUGGGGUUGCGUUCCAUCAGCUAGUUGGUGGGGUAAAGGCCCACUAAGGCGACGACGGAUCGCCGGCCUGAGAGGGUGGCCGGCCACAGGGGCACUGAGACACGGGUCCCACUCCUACGGGAGGCAGCAGUUAGGAAUCUUCCACACUGGGCGAAAGCCUGAUGGAGCGACGCCGCGUGAGGGAUGAAGGUCCUCGGAUCGUAAACCUCUGAAUCAGGGACGAAAGACGCGAAAGCGGGAUGACGGUACCUGAGUAAUAGCACCGGCUAACUCCGUG